CCUACGGGUGGCAGCAGUGAGGAAUAUUGGUCAAUGGUCGGGAGACUGAACCAGCCAAGCCGCGUGAGGGAUGAAGGUACAGAGUAUCGUAAACCUCUUUUGUCAGGGAACAAAGGCGGUGACGUGUCCCCGGCUGAGUGUACCUGAAGACAAAGCAUCGGCUAACUCCGUGCCAGCAGCCGCGGUAAUACGGAGGAUGCGAGCGUUCUCCGGAUUUAUUGGGUUUAAGGGGUGCGCAGGCGGUCUGUUAAGUCAGCGGUCAAAGCCCGGGGCUCAACCCCGGCCCGCCGUUGAAACUGGCAGUCUCGAGUUGGAGAGAAGUAUGCGGAAUGCGCGGGGUAGCGGUGAAAGGCAUAGAGAGCGCGCAGAACUCCGAUUGCGAAGGCAGCAUGCCGGCUCCACACUGACGCUGAGGCACGAAAGCGUGGGUAUCGAACAGGAUUAGAUACCCGUGUAGUC
rnacentral:rRNA from 1 species